rnacentral:rRNA from 1 species
AUUGAACGCUGGCGGCAUGCUUUACACAUGCAAGUCGAACGGCAGCGCGGGCUUCGGCCUGGCGGCGAGUGGCGAACGGGUGAGUAAUACAUCGGAACGUGCCCAGUAGUGGGGGAUAGCUCGGCGAAAGCCGGAUUAAUACCGCAUACGACCUGAGGGUGAAAGCGGGGGAUCUUCGGACCUCGCGCUAUUGGAGCGGUCGAUGGCAGAUUAGCUAGUUGGUGGGGUAAGGGCCUACCAAGGCGACGAUCUGUAGCUGGUCUGAGAGGACGACCAGCCACACUGGGACUGAGACACGGCCCAGACUCCUACGGGUGGCAGCAGUGGGGAAUUUUGGGCAAUGGGCGAAAGCCUGAUCCAGCAAUGCCGCGUGUGUGAUGAAGGCCUUCGGGUUGUAAAGCACUUUUGGCGGGAACGAAAAGGACUGUGCCAAUACCACGGUUCGAUGACGGUACCCGCAGAAUAAGCACCGGCUAACUACGUG